rnacentral:rRNA from 1 species
CCUACGUGUGGCUGCAGUGGGGAAUAUUGCACAAUGGGGGGAACCCUGAUGCAGCGAAGCCGCGUGAGUGAAGAAGUAUUUCGGUACGUAAAGCUCUAUUAGCAGGGAAGAAAAAAGGACGGUACCUGAGUAAGAAGCCCCGGCUAACUACGUGCCAGCAGCCGCGGUAAUACGUAGGGGGCAAGCGUUAUCCGGAAUUACGGGGUGUAUAGGGAGCGUAGACGGGAAUGCAAGUGCGGAGUGGAAUGCGGCAGCUCAACUGCCGAACUGCUCUGGAAACUGUAGGGCGUGAGUGCAGGAGGGGGAAGCGGAAUUCGUGGUGUAGCGGUGAAAUGCGUAGAUAUCAGGAGGAACACCGGUGGCGAAGGCGGCUUACUGGACUGUAACUGACGUUGAGGCACGAAAGCGUGGGGAGCAAACAGGAUUAGAUACCCUUGUAGUC